GAUGAACGCUGGCGGCGUGCCUAAUACGUGCAAGUCGAGCGGACCAAAGAGAGCUUGCUCUCUGAGGUUAGCGGCGGACGGGUGAGUAACACGUGGGUAACCUGCCUGUAAGACGGGGAUAACUUCGGGAAACCGAAGCUAAUACCGGAUGAUAAAGAGAAACGCCUGUUUCUUUUUUGUAAGUCGGCCUUCCGCUGACGCUUACAGAUGGGCCCGCGGCGGAUUAGCUAGUUGGUGAGGUAACGGCUCACCAAGGCGACGAUGCGUAGCCGAACUGAGAGGGUGAUCGGCCACACUGAGACUGAGACACGGCCCAGACUCCUACGGGAGGCAGCAGUAGGGAAUCGUCGGCAAUGGACGAAAGUCUGACCGAGCAACGCCGCGUGAGCGAUGAAGGCCUUCGGGUCGUAAAGCUCUGUUGUCAGAGAAGAACAAGUACCGGAGUAACUGCCGGUACCUUGACGGUACCUGACCAGAAAGCCACGGCUAACUACGUGCCAGCCGCCGCCGUAACAC
rnacentral:rRNA from 1 species